rnacentral:rRNA from 1 species
GCCUGAUCCAGCCAUGCCGCGUGCAGGAUGACGGUCCUAUGGAUUGUAAACUGCUUUUGUACAGGAAGAAACACUACUUCGUGAAGUAGCUUGACGGUACUGUAAGAAUAAGGAUCGGCUAACUCCGUGCCAGCAGCCGCGGUAAUACGGAGGAUCCAAGCGUUAUCCGGAAUCAUUGGGUUUAAAGGGUCCGUAGGCGGUUUAGUAAGUCAGUGGUGAAAGCCCAUCGCUCAACGGUGGAACGGCCAUUGAUACUGCUAAACUUGAAUUAUUAGGAAGUAACUAGAAUAUGUAGUGUAGCGGUGAAAUGCUUAGAGAUUACAUGGAAUACCAAUUGCGAAGGCAGGUUACUACUAAUAUAUUGACGCUGAUGGACGAAAGCGUGGGUAGCGAACAGGAUUAGAUACCCUGGUAGUCCACGCCGUAAACGAUGGAUACUAGCUGUUGGGCGCAAGUUCAGUGGCUAAGCGAAAGUGAUAAGUAUCCCACCUGGGGAGUACGUUCGCAAGAAUGAAACUCAAAGGAAUUGACGGGGGCCCGCACAAGCGGUGGAGCAUGUGGUUUAAUUCGAUGAUACGCGAGGAACCUUACCAAGGCUUAAAUGUAGAUUGACCGGUUUGGAAACAGACUUUUC